AUGGAAAUUGGCCGCCAUUUUCGAUCAAUGUCGCCUGCGAGGUUACGGCGGUUCUGCGUGAUCCUCGGCUAGGCUGGUGCCUUCUGCUAUAAAAUUAUAGGCUACUCGGCGUCUGAUUGCAGCGGAAAUAGCAAACAGUGCAACUAUUGAAGCUAUCAGCAGAUGCCGAGAGAAGAAACAAAUGGGAAAAUAUUUCUAGAGGCUGGAAAUCCGGCCCAGGCAGUUCGUUGUGUGAGACUCAUUUUUGAAAAAUAUCAAUUUGAACCGAAGAGGACGGAUAAAUGGAAAAAAAUAAAAUGGGAUAUAGACAAUAUCCGAUGAGCCAAAUUCACCAAAAAAUUCAAAUCAUCAAAAGCUGAAUUAGCUAAUAUAUUGACUGAGAUGAAAUUUCAAAAAAGAGCAAUAAGCCUACAGUUUGAUCAAAACAUCCUACUCCAGGUGCCACCAGGACAAACCAGUUGUGCCAGAAGCCUAUAAUGUUGGGUCAUAUACAGCACAAGAGUGUGAGACUGCUGCUUAAGCCUCAAGAUUGACUUCA